rnacentral:rRNA from 1 species
UAGAUUGAAGAAGCUUGCUUCUGAUUGAUAACAUUUGAGUGAGUGGCGGACGGGUGAGUAACACGUGGGUAACCUGCCCUAAAGUGGGGGAUAACAUUUGGAAACAGAUGCUAAUACCGCAUAAAACCUAGCACCGCAUGGUGCAAGGUUGAAAGAUGGUUUCGGCUAUCACUUUAGGAUGGACCCGCGGUGCAUUAGUUAGUUGGUGAGGUAAAGGCUCACCAAGACCGUGAUGCAUAGCCGACCUGAGAGGGUAAUCGGCCACACUGGGACUGAGACACGGCCCAGACUCCUACGGGAGGCAGCAGUAGGGAAUCUUCCACAAUGGACGAAAGUCUGAUGGAGCAACGCCGCGUGAGUGAAGAAGGUUUUCGGAUCGUAAAACUCUGUUGUUGGAGAAGAACGUAUUUGAUAGUAACUGAUCAGGUAGUGACGGUAUCCAACCAGAAAGCCACGGCUAACUACGUGCCAGCAGCCGCGGUAAUACGUAGGUGGCAAGCGUUGUCCGGAUUUAUUGGGCGUAAAGCGAGCGCAGGCGGUUUCUUAAGUCUGAUGUGAAAGCCUUCGGCUCAACCGAAGAAGUGCAUCGGAAACUGGGAAACUUGAGUGCAGAAGAGGACAGUGGAACUCCAUGG